CUUCUGCUGCUGUUGUGUUGCUACAGAAAGUCAAAGGAUUCAAAUUUUGCCAAGACCCCACAGAGAACCAAUCAGGGCUCUGCUCCAGAUCAAGUGGUUUACCAGAAUGAAACUACAGUGCACUACUCUCAUCUGCAUGGUGAUGCUUGUCUCUCUGAAUCAAUCAGAGGCUCAGAAAACACUGAAAAUGUUAGAUGCAGAUGAAUCCAGCUGUCACAUACUCGUUGAUUCAGCUUAA